CAUGGGGAGGCUUACACAUGCAGUCGAACGGUCUCUUCGGAGAUAGUGGCGGACGGGUGAGUAACGCGUGAGAAUCUAGCUUCAGGUCGGGGACAACCACUGGAAACGGUGGCUAAUACCGGAUGUGCCGAAAGGUGAAAGAUUUAUUGCCUGAAGAUGAGCUCGCGUCUGAUUAGCUAGUUGGUGUGGUAAGAGCGCACCAAGGCGACGAUCAGUAGCUGGUCUGAAAGGAUGAUCAGCCACACUGGGACUGAGACACGGCCCAUACUCCUACGGGAGGCAGCAGUGGGGAAUUUUCCGCAAUGGGCGAAAGCCUGACGGAGCAAUACCGCGUGAGGGAGGAAGGCUCUUGGGUUGUAAACCUCUUUUCUCAGGGAAUAAAAAAAUGAAGGUACCUGAGGAAUAAGCAUCGGCUAACUCCGUGCCAGCAGCCGCGGUAAUACGGAGGAUGCAAGCGUUAUCCGGAAUGAUUGGGCGUAAAGCGUCCGCAGGUGGCACUGUAAGUCUGCUGUUAAAGAGCAAGGCUCAACCUUGUAAAGGCAGUGGAAACUACAGAGCUAGAGUACGUUCGGGGCAGAGGGAAUUCCUGGUGUAGCGGUGAAAUGCGUAAAAAUAC
rnacentral:rRNA from 1 species